GAUGAACGCUGGCGGCGUGCCUAAUACAUGCAAGUCGAGCGAACAGACGAGGAGCUUGCUCCUCUGACGUUAGCGGCGGACGGGUGAGUAACACGUGGAUAACCUACCUAUAAGACUGGGAUAACUUCGGGAAACCGGAGCUAAUACCGGAUAACAUGUUGAACCGCAUGGUUCAACAGUGAAAGACGGUCUUGCUGUCACUUAUAGAUGGAUCCGCGCCGCAUUAGCUAGUUGGUAAGGUAACGGCUUACCAAGGGAACGAUGCGUAGCCGACCUGAGAGGGUGAUCGGCCACACUGGAACUGAGACACGGUCCAGACUCCUACGGGAGGCAGCAGUAGGGAAUCUUCCGCAAUGGGCGAAAGCCUGACGGAGCAACGCCGCGUGAGUGAAGAAGGUCUUCGGAUCGUAAAACUCUGUUAUUAGGGAAGAACAAAUGUGUAAGUAACUAUGCACGUCUUGACGGUACCUAAUCAGAAAGCCACGGCUAACUACGUG
rnacentral:rRNA from 1 species